rnacentral:rRNA from 1 species
UACGUAGGGGGCAAGCGUUGUCCGGAUUUAUUGGGCGUAAAGAGCGUGUAGGCGGCCAUGUAGGUCCGUUGUGAAAACUCGAGGCUCAACCUCGAGACGCCGAUGGAAACCAUGUGGCUAGAGUCCGGAAGAGGAGAGUGGAAUUCCUGGUGUAGCGGUGAAAUGCGCAGAUAUCAGGAAGAACACCCCGUGGCUAAGGCGGCUCUCUAGUACGGUACUGACGCUGAGACGCGAAAGCGUGGGGAGCGAACAGG